GCGUCGAUUCGUAGAUCGGCACGCCGCGCGCCGUCAACGCGCGCGCAAUGCCGCAUACGUAUUCGAACGGCAGGAUCGUGCCCGCAUCGGCGCUC
rnacentral:tRNA from 1 species